rnacentral:rRNA from 1 species
AUUGAACGCUGGCGGCAGGCCUAACAAAUGCAAGUCGAGCGGAGCGGCGGACGGGUUAGUAAUGCCUAGGAAUCUGCCUGGUAGUGGGGGAUAACGUCCGGCAACGGGCGAUAAUACCGCAUCCUAUCAGAUGCGCCUAGGUCGGAUUAGCUAUUUGGUGGGGUAAAGGCCGACCAGGGCGACGACCCGUAACUGGUCUGAGAGGAAGAUCAGCCACACUGAAACUGAGACACGGUCCAGCCUCCUACGGGACGCAGCAGUGGGGAAUAUGGGACAAUGGGCGAAAGCCUGAUCCAGCCAUGCCGCGUGUGUGAAGAAGGUCUUCGGAUCGUAAAGCACUUUAAGUUGUGAGGCGUUACCAACAGAAGAAGCACCGGCUAACUUCGUGACAGCAGCCGCGGUAAUAC